UCAAUAAAAUAAGUAGAUAUCGUUUUUCACUCAACUAUUUUCUUCCUUUCUCAUGGUGCUUUCAUUUACGAAUCUCAAAACACUUUUGUUCUCACUGAAAUGGCGUUCAAGACCACACUGGCAAUGUUUUAACGACAUUGACCAAAUUUGGGAAAAUUUUCUGGUGAAUGUAUUCUGGGAAGAUAUCAGCAUGGCGGAUUUUCUGGAAAAGACGACACUCCAGUGAAGCCAGAUGUUUAAAGCUUGGUGGGAUUACUGAUUGGGUUUUUUUUCUUCAUAUGUUCUGGUGUUUUAUUUUUUAUUUUUUAAUUAUGGUAGGUUGUUGUUUUGUUUCUGCUAGUUGACACCAGGUGCCUUAUUUUGAUUUUGUAGUGUUGUAGCGUGUAUGCCUUGCCCCUGUCCUGAUUAUAUCUUGUUACAAGCCCUUAUUAACAAAACGUUUGAUUGGUGGAGAAAAUGGCAUUAUCUAUUUAUAGUGA
rnacentral:lncRNA from 1 species